UACGAAGGGGGCUAGCGUUGUUCGGAAUUACUGGGCGUAAAGCGCACGUAGGCGGAAUGUUAAGUCAGGGGUGAAAUCCCGGGGCUCAACCCCGGGAACUGCCUUUGAUACUAGCAUUCUCGAGUCCGGAAGAGGUGAGUGGAAUUCCGAGUGUAGAGGUGAAAUUCGUAGAUAUUCGGAGGAACACCAGUGGCGAAGGCGGCUCACUGGUCCGGUACUGACGCUGAGGUGCGAAAGCGUGGGGAGCAAACAGG
rnacentral:rRNA from 1 species